GACGGAGGGUGCAAGCGUUGUUCGGAUUGACUGGGCGUAAAGGGCGUGUAGGCGGUCGGCCAAGUCUGAUGUGAAAGCCCGAGGCUCAGCCUCGGAAGUGCGUCGGAAACUAGUCGGCUGGAGCGCGAUAGAGGAGGGUGGAAUUCCUGGUGUAGCGGUGAAAUGCGUAGAGAUCAGGAAGAACACCCGUGGCGAAGGCGGCCCACUGGGCCGGUGCUGACGCUGAGGCGCGAAGGCGUGGGGAGCGAACGGG
rnacentral:rRNA from 1 species